AGAGUUUGAUCCUGGCUCAGAAUCAACGCUGGCGGCGCGCUUAACACAUGCAAGUCGCACGAGAAAGGGAGCAAUCCUAAGUAAAGUGGCGCACGGGUGAGUAACACGUGGAUCAUCUACCUUUUAGUGGGGAAUACCUCUGGGAAACCGGAGACAAUACCGCAUAAGCCCGCAAGGGGAAAGCAGCAAUGCGCUGAAAGAGGAGUCCGCGGCCGAUUAGCUAGUUGGCGGGGUAACGGCCCACCAAGGCGAAGAUCGGUAGCCGGCCUGAGAGGGCACACGGCCACACUGGCACUGAAACACGGGCCAGACUCCUACGGGAGGCAGCAGUGGGGAAUCUUGCACAAUGGGCGAAAGCCUGAUGCAGCGACGCCGCGUGAGCGAUGAAGCCCUUCGGGGUGUAAAGCUCUUUCGACGGGAACGAUAAUGACGGUGCCCGAAGAAGAAGCUGCGGCUAACUACGUGCCAGUAGCCGCGGUAAUACGUAGGCAGCAAGCGUUGUUCGGAAUUACUGGGCGUAAAGAGUGUGUAGGCGGUGCACUAAGUCUGUCGUGAAAUCUCCCGGCUUAACUGGGAGGGUGCGGCGGAAACUGGUGUGCUUGAGGAUGGGAGAGGUAAGCGGAAUUCCUGGUGUAGCGGUGAAAUGCGUAGAUAUCAGGAGGAACACCUGGUGUAGACAGCUUACUGGACCAUUUCUGACGCUGAGACACGAAAGCGUGGGUAGCAAACAGGAUUAGAUACCCUAGUAGUCC
rnacentral:rRNA from 1 species